CCCUGUCGUGGUGCAGUGGAUAGCACCGUCGACUCACUGGUAGGUCCUGGGUUUGAUUCCUGGCCGGGGC
rnacentral:tRNA from 1 species